rnacentral:rRNA from 1 species
AGGCAGCAGUGGGGAAUAUUGGGCAAUGGGCGCAAGCCUGACCCAGCAACGCCGCGUGAAGGAAGAAGGUCUUCGGAUUGUAAACUUCUGUCAUAGGGGACGAAGGAAGUGACGGUACCCUAUGAGGAAGCCCCGGCUAACUAC